rnacentral:snoRNA from 1 species
AAGAUCAUGAUGUAGGCAUCUUCGAUGCAAGUCUUUAUACCUCUCCCAAACUUCAUAUAAAGACUCAGAAUCCAACUGCAUGAAAGAAGUAAUAUCGUUCCUUAUCUU